rnacentral:rRNA from 1 species
CCCUACGGGGUGCAGCAGGCGCGAAACCUCUACAAUGCACGAAAGUGUGAUAGGGGGACCCUGAGUGCUCAGCUAUGCUGGGCUUUUGUUAAGAGUAAAAACCUUGGCGAAUAAGUGGUGGGUAAGACAGGUGCCAGCCGCCGCGGUAACACCUGCGCCACAAGUGGCAAUCGUUAUUAUUGGGCCUAAAGCGUCCGUAGCAUGUUUUGUAAAUCUUUUGUGAAAUUGUUGCGCUCAACGUAACAGCGUGCAAGAGACACUGCAAGACUUGGGACCGGGAGGAGUCAGAGGUAUUUCGUGGGGAGCGGUAAAAUGCUAUAAUCCACGAAGGACCACCUAUGGCGAAGGCAUCUGACCAGAACGGAUCCGACUGUGAGGGACGAAAGCUAGGGGAGCGAACCGGAUUAGAUACCCGAGUAGUCCUAGCUGUAAACUCUGCGAGCUAGGUGUUGCGCAAUCCACGAGAUUGCGCAGUAUCGUAGCGAAGGCGUUAAGCUCGCCGCCUGGGAAGUACGGUCGCAAGGCUGAAACUUAAAGGAAUUGGCGGGGGAGCAC